UCAGAACGUUUGAAAUCUCCUAGAGCAGUGUGCGUACUGUUGGGAUUAGACAUUCAUUAAUUAGCUGUAAUCAUUUUUCCCCCCAAGCGUGCUAUUUUGAUUCUUGUGCUAACGCUGAAAUGUGUGUCGUUUUGCAUGUGUUUUACUUAGAGUAUAUAAACACUUUUCUCACAUUUCACACACUUAUCACUCUCACUCACUCUAAAACCCUAAACCUCUCAAGCAUUCUCUGAAAGCUCUUCAUCUUCAUC
rnacentral:lncRNA from 1 species